rnacentral:rRNA from 1 species
UACGUAGGGUGCAAGCGUUGUCCGGAAUUAUUGGGCGUAAAGAGCUCGUAGGCGGUCUGUCGCGUCUGCUGUGAAAACCUAGGGCUUAACUCUGGGCGUGCAGUGGGUACGGGCAGGCUAGAGUGCGGUAGGGGAGACUGGAAUUCCUGGUGUAGCGGUGAAAUGCGCAGAUAUCAGGAGGAACACCGGUGGCGAAGGCGGGUCUCUGGGCCGUAACUGACGCUGAGGAGCGAAAGCGUGGGGAGCGAACAGG